GGGGCUGUAGCUCAGUUGGUCAGAGCGCUUGCUUGACAUGCAAGAGGUCUCCAGUUCAAGUCUGGACAGCCCCACCA
rnacentral:tRNA from 1 species